rnacentral:rRNA from 1 species
AUUGAACGCUGGCGGCAGGCCUAACACAUGCAAGUCGAGCGGAGGGGCGGACGGGUGAGUGAUGCCUAGGAAUCUGCAUGGGAGUGGGGGAUAACGUACGGAAACGGGAGCUAAUACCGAAUACUAGCAGAUGAGCAGAGGUUGGAUUAGCUAGUUGGUGGGGUAAAGGCAAACCAAGGCGACGAUCCGUAACUGUUCUGAGGGGAUGAUCAGUCACACUGGAACUGAGACACGGUCCAGACUCCUACGGUAGGCAGCAUUGGUGAAUAUUGGACAAUGGGCGAAAGCCUGAUCCAGCCAUGCCGCGUGUGUGAAGAAGGUCUUCGGAUUGUAAAGCACUUUAAGUUGGGAGGCGUUACCAACAGAAUAAGCACCGGCUAACUUCGUGCCAGCAGCCGCGGUAAUAC